rnacentral:rRNA from 1 species
GAUGAACGCUGGCUGUGUGCCUAAUACAUGCAUGUCAACUUGGACUAGCAAUACUUUAGCGGCGAAUGGAUGAGUAACACGUGCUUAAUCUACCUCUUAGAUUGGAAUACCUAAUGGAAACAUUGGUUAAUGCCGGAUACGCAUGGAGUCGCAUGACUCCGUAUGUGAAAGGUGCCUUUAAAGCUCCACUAAGAGAUGAGGUUCGGAACAUUAGCUAGUUGGUGAGGCCCGGGCCACCAUGGCUAUGAUGUUUAAGCGGGUCGAGAGACUGAACGGCACUGAUGGGACUGAGAUACGCCUACGACUCCUACGGGAGACAGCAGUUGGGAAUAUUCCACAAUGAGCAAAAGCUUGAUGCAGCGACACAGCGUGCGCCAUGGGGGGUCUUAUGCUUUGUUAAGUGCUGAUGCAAGAGAACAAAAAGUAGUUGAGGAAAUGUUUCUACUUUGACGGUACCUUGUAAGACAGCGAUGGCUAACUAUGUGCCAGCAGGAGCGGGAAUACAUAGGGCGCAUGCGUUAUCCGAAAUUAUCGCGCGCAAAGUGUCCGUAGUUUUUUUGCUAAGAGGGGAGUAACAUGCUAAAGCUCAUCUUCAGUCCGCUUUGUAAACUGGCAAAAUAG